rnacentral:lncRNA from 1 species
CUCGGACUUCUCUUGAACUGAAUUUUAAAUGUGCGUAUUGUUAUGCGUUUACUUUUCUACAUUGGCUAGAGGUAUAGGGGGAGGGUUGAGAUCUCAUAAACAUGUUUAACCCCGCCACAUUUUUGCGCCUGUCCCAAGUCAGGAGCCUCUGGCCUUUGUUAGUCUUGUAUUAUUUUAAUUUUAGUUUCUUGUGUACAAUUUGGAAAUUAGUAUGGCGUUCAUUAUCACUGAACUAGUAUAUAUUU